CCUACGGGUGGCAGCAGUGAGGAAUCUUGGUCAAUGGACGCAAGUCUGAACCAGCCAUGCCGCGUGCAGGAAGACGGCUCUAUGAGUUGUAAACUGCUUUUGUACGAGGGAAAACGCAGAUACGCGUAUCUUUCUGCAAGUAUCGUACGUAUAAGGAUCGGCUAACUCCGUGCCAGCAGCCGCGGUAAUACGGAGGAUUCAAGCGUUAUCCGGAUUUAUUGGGUUUAAAGGGUGCGUAGGCGGUCGGAUAAGUUAGAGGUGAAAUCCCGAGGCUCAACUUGGGAGUUGCCUCUGAUACUGGGAGGCUAGAGAGUAGUUGCGGUAGGCGGAAUGUAUGGUGUAGCGGUGAAAUGCUUAGAGA
rnacentral:rRNA from 1 species